GCCCUGGUAAUGGAUGGGAUGGUUGUACUUGGGAUAUGUAUUUACCACUCAGGGAAGUGGAUGGUCCUCUGAGGACCUUUAACAGGUAAGAAGUGAAUGGAAAUGGCCUCCCUCUCCGUCCAUCACACUGGAGGUUGAGACCAGGAGGCCAGAUAGAGAAGCUUAAAAGCAGGGCCUCUUAGCGUGUUGAUCCGGAAGCAGGAGGUUGGGGCAGGGCCUAACAUUCUUCAUUUAUAACAGGCUUCCAGGGACUGCUGUUGCUGCUGGGGUCUGAGCAGUUCCAGAAUAGCAAGGACAGCUCUGGAACCUGAACCAAUGUUCCUUUGCUUCAGGCACAACAGCCUGUGUGUGGGGUCUGUGCAAUCUUACUCUAAUCAUGUCUGAAGGGUGACUACUCUACCACUGCAGACACUCACUGAGCAGAUACUGAGCACCAGCAGGGUCUCCCCACUCUGCCUCCCCCGCCUCUGUGUCUGUCUGUCUGCCUGUCUGUCUUCUGUCUGUGUCUCUGUGUGUGUGCAUGCACACAUGCUCCGUCAUGCGCACCUUUUUAAAAUUCACUUUCAUAUUUUUAGUACCACUCUGCCCACCUGUUUGACUUGGGUUUUGGGGCUCCAACUCAGGCCCUUGUGUUUGCAAAGCCACCGCAGCUCCACCAACAAAUAUUUUCUGACUAAGCCAUCUCCUCAGCCCUGGAUUCAAUGUUUAAUGUGAUGCUUUCCUUUUGCAAUGGGUUAGGAAAGUGGGUUAGUUAUUAAGUAGCAUCGUCUCCUGAUACAACAAAAACAGCUUAGACAAACUUCAAAACUGUUAUUCUUUAGAGCACACCAGAACUGAAGGCCAUGCAGGGGAAUUAGAAUCAAACUCCGGACAACUCCACUGUGACAGCAGCGAAGCCAUCACUAUGGUGCUCAGAGUUUGGGCUCAAGAAGCAAGAAGCAUUGUGAUUCCAUGAGAAAACCCUGGGUUUAAAAAAUCAGCUUUCCUAAAGCCAAGAAACUAACACAGAUACAAAGCAGCAUUCCGAAUCAAGAGGAAGAGCUGGAUGAAAUGGUGUCGAGACUUUGACUGCUCGUGGGAUGACCGAUGUGGAUCAUUGUCUUUUCCUCGGCAUCCUAAUCCGCAGGUAAAAUUCAACUUUGUCCAUUCUGUCCGUGAAUUUGACUUGGGCCUGCUGUGUGUGCAGACUGGAUCCAACGUCUUUCUGGAUCAUCACCCCCAGGAAAUGCCUAGGAACCACCUCACAAGCAAGCAGCCAAGGCUGGGGAGAUGUUUCCACCAGUACAGUGCCUGCCUCUCAAGCAUGAGGGCCUGAGCUUGAUCCCCACACAGACUGUCAGGUGUGAUGGAAGGAAGCCAUGGACAUAUAACAGCAGGCUGGAGCUUAGCUGCCUGCAUCUUGAGGGUCUGGAACACGUCCUGAUGGCUGUUGGAGUACUCUGGCAAUGAGGCCUGGCUACUCAGGUCUCAAGGGGCUUACACACCCAGAAAGAGAGUCCACAACAGACCAGAUUCCACCAAAGUCCAUCUUAGUGAACUAAAAAAUUUUACUUGUAGGAAUAUGGGUGAGGGGUUACUUACAUGAGCAGAAAUGACCCAGAAACAGAUACAUCACCAAAGCCACCCAGCAUCGGUAUAAAAGCUAGAAACCCAGAGCCCACUGCACAACUUGAAGGCAACUCAACAGGCUGAAGACUCCCUUUCAGGUGCCUCAAGUCUUAGCCUCUUCCAGGCAGCUAAGUUCUAGGCAUUUUGGUCUCAGCUUCCUGAGUCUCCUUUACAGUAUGGGUCCUCUGAAAAUGACUAUUAGCUGUCUUUAGUAUUUAGUCUAUGGGAGGCAGAGUGGCCUAGUGAAUCUAAUCAGUUUCAGGGACUUCCUGAAGUUAUCUUGAGUUGUUUAUUUCCUGUUUUAAGGAGCUUCCCUGAAGGAUGGAGUUUCACUCUCAGAGGAAACUGCUACACAAAACACACCAGCAACACAUAAACAUUCAUCUAACCCCCUACAGACACCAGCAUUUGUUGAUUUUUGGUUUUGUUUGUUUGUUUCUAUGACAGCCAUUCUGACUGCAGUGACAUGGAAUCUCAUCACAUCUUUGAUUUGUCUUUCCUUUAUGGCUAUAGACAUUAAACAGCUUU